rnacentral:tRNA from 1 species
UUCCUGGUGGUCCAGUGGUUAGGACUUAUGCUUUCACUGCUGUUGCCCCAGGUUCAAUCCCUGGUCAGGAAA